rnacentral:lncRNA from 1 species
GAGAGCAAAGACAGCUUGACGUAUGGUCAGGCGAUGCUGAGCUCCAGCUUUUUCGAAGGCUCGUUUCUCCGUCUUUCUGGUUUUUAGAAAUUCAACAUGAGGGGAGGCGAUAAUGAAAAAAAAUUGGAAAUCGGUAGUAGAGGAAGAACAAAUGAAGAUGGGCAAAAAUGUUUUAAAAAAUUAAAAAGGGGGGGUGCAGGAGAGGCGCAGCCCUUCGGGGACGAGGACAGACGGUCGGGCGGCAAGGGGAGGAGCCGAGGAGUAGCCUCCCGGGAGAGUCCUGUUUACACUUGAGGAUCCCAAACCGCUUAGCAGAGGAAAGGGUCAUUCUGGGGAUCAAAUCCAGGGCUUUAUGCAUGCCAGCCACACGCCUCACCACUUCGCUGUUAGUCCAGCCUGCAGCCUGCCUCUCUGCCCACAGCCAACCCCUGCAAUUUGUAAUUAGAAUGUCAGAGCCAGGGAGCUCCAGCUGCUGUUUGCGUUCGUUCCUACAGGUGGCUGCUGUGCACUUAACCUCAGGUGUGUUUACAACUUUCACACAUGACACAGCCCAUGGCUGAUUCAGGGGACCAGCAAGGGGAAACUAAGCGGCUAGUGAAACACGCACUUGACCUAGCAAGUUAAAGACUUACAAGAGGAUAACGAGGAAGCGUCAGUGUGUGGUCGAUGGACCUUCCAGGUGACUUUUAUAGGCUCUCUGCUCCAGUCUCUCUCAACUGCUCCAUCAUGGAGGCCUGCUGAAAGUCCCACCCACCAACCACAUAGCUGGAACCCUGGAGGCUCCCAGGUCUAGCACAGGAAACACUCAAACAGAAGCCGACUGAAAUCAUCCUGUGUUUCCUCUCUUGGUUGAUGGCACUUUCCUCUGUGCAAAAUUAGACCUCGUUUUUUUCUUCCUUUCCCUACUCCCUUGAGCUUGCAUUUGGUCCCCACCCCCCUGACUUGCAUGUGCUCAGAGGCUCACGAUUAAGUGAUAUGAAGCUCNGCCAGCUCACAAUUGUC